UUUGUUUUAUGAUGAAAAAUGGAGUAUGGAGCACCGAUGUAAACAAGGGCAACUUCUGAUGAUUGAACCAAUUGGAGAGGAACCGAAAGCUAAGAAUGUGGACUCCGAUCAUGAAGGUAUAAAUUCUAAUGAAGAUGUUGGACCCACCAUACAUACAAUGCAUGCAUUAGCCGACUACUCUAACCCGCAAACUAUGGAAGUUGGCAAAACUUUGGAACAUCAGCC
rnacentral:lncRNA from 1 species